rnacentral:rRNA from 1 species
AUGCCUAAUACAUGCAAGUCGAACGAGAUCUUCGGAUCUAGUGGCGCACGGGUGCGUAACGCGUGGGAAUCUGCCCUUGGGUUCGGAAUAACAUCUGGAAACGGAUGCUAAUACCGGAUGAUGACGUAAGUCCAAAGAUUUAUCGCCCAAGGAUGAGCCCGCGUAGGAUUAGCUAGUUGGUGAGGUAAAGGCUCACCAAGGCUACGAUCCUUAGCUGGUCUGAGAGGAUGAUCAGCCACACUGGGACUGAGACACGGCCCAGACUCCUACGGGAGGCAGCAGUAGGGAAUAUUGGACAAUGGGGGCAACCCUGAUCCAGCAAUGCCGCGUGAGUGAUGAAGGCCUUAGGGUUGUAAAGCUCUUUUACCCGAGAUGAUAAUGACAGUAUCGGGAGAAUAAGCUCCGGCUAACUCCGUGCCAGCAGCCGCGGUAAUACGGAGGGAGCUAGCGUUGUUCGGAAUUACUGGGCGUAAAGCGCACGUAGGCGGUUAUUUAAGUCAGAGGUGAAAGCCCGGGGCUCAACCCCGGAACUGCCUUUGAGACUGGAUAACUUGAAUCCAGGAGAGGUGAGUGGAAUUCCGAGUGUAGAGGUGAAAUUCGUAGAUAUUCGGAAGAACACCAGUGGCGAAGGCGGCUCACUGGACUGGUAUUGACGCUGAGGUGC